AAACCAUUCAACUGCUACAAGGUCUGAAGGUCUUUUGUAAGGGCACGCUCAGCUGUGGCUAUCUCAGCUGCCUUCUUAAUUUCACAUUUACCCAGCCCUUCCUUUGAACUGUAUUAUGGGGAUUCUAAAAGAGACGAGAGAAAAGGCCUCUGUAUAGUCACCGCAUUAUGCAAACUGGUGGUCCAGGCCAGGAGAGUUGGCAGACAGUGGUGCUCUCUGUUACCUAGCAGGAAGCACAGGAUAGCCUCUUUCAGUGGUGCUGGGAGACUUGUGGCCUGGGGCUAGGUUUUCAACCCUGUGGGUUGGCAGCAAGCUGGGAACACUGUACUUUGUCAGGAAUGAAGCCGUGGGAGCAGACCUUGAAAGGGCGAUAGCCUGGCCUCCAGUAAGUGGUGCUUUUGAGAGGAAGAAAAUUGGUAGCUGAAGUUUAAUGAAUUCAAGAAUUAAGACAGGGAUCCCACACCCACUCCAACCCAACCCCCAGACUGAAGGAGGAUCACCCUGUGUCUUCCAGGAUUUUAGUAAAUUCAUGAGUCUGCAGGAAUAGAGACCUCUGCUGUUUGACAACGUUUACACACAAUGCCCUGAC